rfam:Salmo salar isolate Sally breed double haploid chromosome ssa11, whole genome shotgun sequence.
GCUUGAGGCCGUACCACCCUGAACACGGCUGAUAUUUUCUGAUCUCAGUAGCUCCGCAGAGUUGGGCCUGGUUAGUACUUGGAUGGGAGACAGUCUGGGAAUACCUGGUGCUGUAAACU